rnacentral:rRNA from 1 species
UACGUAGGGUGCAAGCGUUAAUCGGAAUUACUGGGCGUAAAGCGUGCGCAGGCGGUGAUGUAAGACAGAUGUGAAAUCCCCGGGCUUAACCUGGGAACUGCAUUUGUGACUGGCAAGCUAGAGUAUGGCAGAGGGGGGUAGAAUUCCACGUGUAGCAGUGAAAUGCGUAGAGAUGUGGAGGAAUACCGAUGGCGAAGGCAGCCCCCUGGGCCAAUACUGACGCUCAUGCACGAAGCGUGGGGAGCAACAAGG